rnacentral:sRNA from 2 species
CGUGAGGUCGGUGGUUCGAGUCCACUUAGACCCAUAUAUGGGGAAUUAGCUCAGCUGGGAGAGCACCUGCUUUGCAAGCAGGAGGUCAUCGGUUCGAUCCCGUUAUUCUCCAUUGCCAGUCGUUUGACUGGUGCUUGUACUUUGAAAACUAAAUAAUAUUUAUUUCUUUAUUCACAAUUAAACCGAGAACACCGCGUUAUUUGAGUUUUAUUAACGAAAUUAAUCGCAUACUCAAUAACUGAGGUGAUCGUAAGAUCAUCAAGGUUAAGUUAUGAAGGGCGCAUGGUGAAUGCCUUGGUACUAGGAGCCGAUGAAGGACGGGACUAACACCGAUAUGCUUCGGGGAGCGGUAAGUACGCUUUGAUCCGGAGAUUUCCGAAUGGGGAAACCCAAUCAUCUUAGUCGAUGAUUGCCUGAGCAGUGAAUACAUAGCUGUCAGGCGGUAGACGCAGUGAACUGAAACAUCUAAGUAGCUGCAGGAAGAGAAAGAAAAUUCGAUUCCCUGAGUAGCGGCGAGCGAAACGGGAAGAGCCCAAACCAACGAGCUUGCUUGUUGGGGUUGUAGGACCGAACAUUUGAGUUACCAAAGUGCGACGUAGUUGAAGUCGUUGGGAAGCGACGCCAAAGAUGGUGAUAGCCCAGUAAACGAAACGUCACACUCUCAGUUCAGGAUCCUGAGUACGGCGGGACACGUGAAACCCCGUCGGAAUCCGCGAGGACCAUCUCGCAAGGCUAA